rnacentral:rRNA from 1 species
GAUGAACGCUGGCGGCGUGCCUAAUACAUGCGAGUCGAGCGAACAGACGAGGAGCUUGCUCCUCUGACGUUAGCGGCGGACGGGUGAGUAACACGUGGAUAACCUACCUAUAAGACUGGGAUAACUUCGGGAAACCGGAGCUAAUACCGGAUAAUAUAUUGAACCGCAUGGUUCAAUAGUGAAAGACGGUUUUGCUGUCACUUAUAGAUGGAUCCGCGCCGCAUUAGCUAGUUGGUAAGGUAACGGCUUACCAAGGCAACGAUGCGUAGCCGACCUGAGAGGGUGAUCGGCCACACUGGAACUGAGACACGGUCCAGACUCCUACGGGAGGCAGCAGUAGGGAAUCUUCCGCAAUGGGCGAAAGCUUGACGGAGCAACGCCGCGUGAGUGAUGAAGGUCUUCAGAUCGUAAAACUCUGUUAUUAGGGAAGAACAAAUGUGUAAGUAACUAUGCACGUCUUGACGGUACCUAAUCAGAAAGCCACGGCUAACUACGUG